rnacentral:rRNA from 1 species
UACGAAGGGGGCUAGCGUUGUUCGGAUUUACUGGGCGUAAAGCGCACGUAGGCGGAUUGUUAAGUCGGGGGUGAAAUCCUGGAGCUCAACUUCAGAAUUGCCUUCGAUACUGGCUUUCUAGAGGCUGGAAGAGGUUAGUGGAAUUUCCAGUGUAGAGGUGAAAUUCGUAGAUAUUGGGAAGAACACCAGUGGCGAAGGCGGCUAACUGGUCCAGAUCUGACGCUGAGGUGCGAAAGCGUGGGGAGCAAACAGG